rnacentral:rRNA from 1 species
UACGAAGGUGGCAAGCGUUGUUCGGAUUUACUGGGCGUAAAGGGAGCGUAGGUGGUUAGGUAAGCCCUCCGGGAAAUCUUCAGGCUUAACCUGAAAAGGUCGGGGGGGACGUGCCUGGCUAGAGGACGGGAGAGGAGCGCGGAAUUCCCGGUGUAGCGGUGAAAUGCGUAGAGAUCGGGAGGAAGGCCGGUGGCGAAGGCGGCGCUCGUGGAACGUUUCUGACACUGAGGCUCGAAAGCGUGGGGAGCAAACAGGG